rnacentral:rRNA from 1 species
AUGAGGUUAAGGAGAGAGAGAGAAGAGGGCCUCACAUUUGCUUCUGAUUCCACGCAACUUCCCAUCUCUCUCGUUCUUUCCACCGCCACCGCCGCUAGGGUUGCCGCCGCCGCUGCCAACGCCGCCCCAAGCCGUAUUCGCCUCGACGGGUCUCAACCUGCCAGGCGGAGCGACCCCCCGAUGCCGGGUCUGACUGGUGUUGGGAGGCGGGGCCGGAUUGGGGGAGGUUUCGAGGGAGGAGGGGACGCGGAUGAGGGCCGCUGCAACGUCGGGGACAUCUUGCCGGGGACCAUUGUGUGGGUGCGGCGAAGGAACGGCUACUGGUGGCUCCGACGGGAUCUUGGGCCAAGGCGAGUUGCCGCCAUCGCUGAUCAUGUCUCCCAGGUCUGGCACGCCGGACAAGCUUCUCGGCCACGAGGACGCCAGCAUGCUUUGAGAAGGCUUCAAUUUUCAGAAACUGUUGCCCAGAGAGAUGUCGAUGAAGCACUACGCCUGUUGCAGAUGUCAAAGUACUUGAUCUACUUUGAUGACCGCCAGCGGUCUAGCCUUGAGGUGAUCUCUGACAUAUACUCCAUCCUGAGAGAUGAAGCAGCAAGGACUAGCAACAUGGAUGUCAAAUUUGGUCUUUCUCUUAACCUUAUCUCCAGAAAUUCAUUGACUCCUUAUUACAAUGAGCAUGUCCUUCUUUCCAUAAAAGAGCUUGAGGAGAUGAAUGAGCUUCCAAGCAAGGGUUCAUUGGGACAAUUUGGAAAUGACAAGUGUUCUGGUCAUUCUAAUGCCCAUGCAAUAAGAGCAUACCUCCUGUGUUGCAAUGUUCAAACCAGAAUUAGGCAUGAUUUUGGGAUUGUCCAGUGA